rnacentral:rRNA from 1 species
GACGAACGCUGGCGGCGUGCUUAACACAUGCAAGUCGAACGGAAAGGCCCUGCUUUUGUGGGGUGCUCGAGUGGCGAACGGGUGAGUAACACGCGAGUAACCUGCCCCUGACUUUGGGAUAACUUCAGGAAACUGGGGCUCAUAUCGGAUAGGAGCUACUGCAGCAUGGUGGGGGUUGGAAAGUUUCGGCGGUUGGGGAUGGACUCGCGGCUUAUCAGCUUGCUGGUGGGGUAGUGGAUUACCAAGGCUGUGAAGGGUAGCCGGCCUGAGAGGGUGACCGGCCACAUUGGGACUGAGAUGCGGCCCAGACGCCUACGGGAGGCAGCAGGGGGGAAUAUUGCACAAUGGGCGGAAGCCUGAUGCAGCAACGCCGCGUGCGGGAUGACGGCCUUCGGGUUGUAAACCGCUUUCGCCUGUGACGAAGCGUGAGUGACGGUAAUGGGUAAAGAAGCACCGGCUAACUACGUG